rnacentral:rRNA from 1 species
CUAGCGUUGCUCGGAAUCACUGGGCGUAAAGGGUGCGUAGGCGGGUUAUUAAGUCAGAGGUGAAAUCCUGGAGCUCAACUCCAGAACUGCCUUUGAUACUGAUAGUCUUGAGUAUGGGAGAGGUGAGUGGAACUGCGAGUGUAGAGGUGAAAUUCGUAGAUAUUCGCAAGAACACCAGUGGCGAAGGCGGCUCACUGGCCCAUUACUGACGCUGAGGCACGAAAGCGUGGGGAGCAAACAGG